rnacentral:miRNA from 1 species
GGUGAGUGGGAUUUUAGUCCUG